AGGUCCCAAAUAUCUGCUAAACCACAUGCCAAUCAAUCAGAACACAAAAGUAUAAACAAAAGUAAGUAUAUGAAUCGAAAAGAGAGCAAGAAGGAUUUUUAUUCCGAAUUUGUGUUGAGCGUUACAACAAGGUAAGAGCCUCGGCCACAAGAGCUUUCGGCGAGAUUCCUAGUUCUAGCAACCUAAGACUGCAGAAACCUAAUUGAGUUGCAGCACGAUAAAAAAACCGAAAAAUUGCCUAAAUGUUCUAAGUUCUAAGCUUUUGCUCUGAGUAGAAAAAUUGUGUCCUUCUACAUCUUCAACCUCCACAUCCUUAUUUACUCCUCUAGAUGCGGUUUGCUCUUUC
rnacentral:lncRNA from 1 species